rnacentral:rRNA from 1 species
UACGUAGGCAGCAAGCGUUGUUCGGAAUUACUGGGCGUAAAGAGUGUGUAGGCGGUGCUCUAAGUUUGGUGUGAAAUCUCCCGGCUCAACUGGGAGGGUGCGCCGAAUACUGAAUGACUAGAGUGCGGGAGAGGAGAGUGGAAUUCCUGGUGUAGCGGUGAAAUGCGUAGAUAUCAGGAGGAACACCGGUGGUGUAGACGGCUCUCUGGACCGUAACUGACGCUGAGGCACGAAAGCGUGGGUAGCAAACAGG